GGCAGCACGGGCUUCGGCCUGGUGGCGAGUGGCGAACGGGUGAGUAAUGCGUCGGAACGUGCCGAGUAAUGGGGGAUAACGCAUCGAAAGGUGUGCUAAUACCGCAUACGCUCUGAGGAGGAAAGCGGGGGACCUUUGGGCCUCGCGUUAUUCGAGCGGCCGACGUCUGAUUAGCUAGUUGGUGGGGUAAAGGCUCACCAAGGCGACGAUCAGUAGCGGGUCUGAGAGGAUGAUCCGCCACACUGGGACUGAGACACGGCCCAGACUCCUACGGGAGGCAGCAGUGGGGAAUUUUGGACAAUGGGCGAAAGCCUGAUCCAGCCAUGCCGCGUGAGUGAAGAAGGCCUUCGGGUUGUAAAGCUCUUUUGUCCGGGAGGAAAUCCCGCAACCUAAUACGUUGCGGGGAUGACAGUACUGGAAGAAUAAGCACCGGCUAACUACGUGCCAGCAGCCGCGGUAAUACGUAGGGUGCAAGCGUUAAUCGGAAUUACUGGGCGUAAAGCGUGCGCAGGCGGUUUGAUAAGUCAGAUGUGAAAUCCCCGGGCUUAACCUGGGAACUGCGUUUGAAACUGUCA
rnacentral:rRNA from 1 species